GGUAAGAUGGCCGAGCGGUUAAGGCGUGUGACUCAAGCUGCAAUGCAAAAGCUUCCCUUCUCAUGGGAGAAAUCCCGCCUGGGUUCAAGUCCCAGUCUUACCA